UAAUAAAAGGGAGAGGAAUUGCACAAGGAUCGGGUGCGUGCGGGGGUGGGAAAGAUAGAUUUAAAAAUUAAGCCCACGAGCAGCUUUGGCAGCCCCGGCUCGGUGGGGUUUUGCAGCUUGUUCGGCUUGAAAGAAAACGCCCCAACACAAAGCACAGAAUUUAAAAAAAAAGAGAGAGGAAAAAAAAAAAAGAAAAUGGUGGUGUUGGGAGCGGUAGAUGGUGGGAUAAAAGAGCUGAUCCCUCCUCCCGGAUCUACAGCAAAGCCCUGCCAUUGCAAUUCGACUAAUUUGUCCUCUUUUUUUGUUGCAAUGAAUUGUCUGAUCCGGACUAUUUGUCUGCAUUUGCAGCUUCAGUUACUGGAGUUUGGCUUUGAUAUAUUGUAGUAGAAAGCCAAAGGAGGAAAACACAGGUAAUAUAUAUAAAAUCAAACAUAUAUAUGGGCCAAAAUUACAGUGAUUGUAUAUAAUUAAAACAUAGUGGUUUAGGUGUAUGGGUUUAUUUCAUAUUCUGUAAUCCAUCCCUGGAAAAAGGAGGUACGUAUAGACAUAGAAAUAUGUCAUAAAUAUAUUUCUAUAUGUAUUUAGAAAUAAAAGAGCAUCUGCAUGGGCCUAAAUCUGUAAUUCCAAGAAAAAAAAAAAAAACCAGUAUUUCAGGCAUGUGGCUUUUAACAAAGAAAGGGCAACGUUAUAAUGUAGCCAGUAACAACAGCGUGGUGCAGAAAAAAGCUAAGGCAACAUCAAAAGAAAAAAAAAAAAACAACUUUAAAAAGCGUACGUGGUACCUUGGCUGCAGCCUCCCAACAGCGAGCGUUUGGAUGUUUCGGGGUAUGAUUACAUUAUAUUUUUUUUCCUACGGUUUUACCACAUCUGAUCACACCAAGAACGUGCUUUUAAUUAACCGGGCAGGUUGUCGUGGAGCGAGGCGAGCAGCGACGGCUUCUUCUCCGUGCCCCUCCGGCUCUGAAGAGAAAUCAAUCCUCGGGUGUUUUGGGAAUUAUUAUUUUUUUAUGUAUUUAUUCGUUUCUCUUUUUUUUUUCCAAGCGCGGCCGGGUGUUUUCCGCGCCGUCAGGAGAGCGGGAGGCGGCGGCUUCAACCCCUGCGGCAGAGAAAAGCGGUGGAAGAGGAAGAAUUAGGCACGAAACUGCCCACCUUGGGGUGCCUGUGGUGAUGAUGGGGGGGGGGGGGCGUGUGAAAUGAGCCCGUUCUGGGCCAAAAAACUUCACUCUAGGAGGAAAAAAAGAAAAAUAAAUGCCUGAAAUGUGUGGGUGCGGGAAGGGGCGAUGGCGCCGGCGGGCCCUGAGGCAGCGCGGCUGCCGGGGGGGAUCCCGAGGGCCGAGACCCCCGCCCCAACCCCCUUGUCCGAGC